CGGUUACGUCUAGAGGAGUUUUGGUAUCCUUCGGCGUCAGGAUGAACGCUGGCGGCGUGCCUAACACAUGCAAGUCGACGAAGCACGUCCCUCGAGGGCCUUCGGGCGGAGGGGGGCGAUGACGUUAGUGGCGGACGGGUGAGUUAACGCGUGGGUAACCUGCCCUAUACUGGGGGAUAACAGCUAGAAAUGGCUGCUAAUACCGCAUGAGCGCACAGUCCCGCAUGGGACAGUGCGGAAAACUCCGGUGGUAUAGGAUGGACCCGCGUCCGAUCAGCUGGUUGGUGGGGUAACGGCCCACCAAGGCGACGAUCGGUAGCCGACCUGAGAGGGUGACCGGCCACAUUGGGACUGAGACACGGCCCAAACUCCUACGGGAAGCAGCAGUGGGGGAUAUUGCACAAUGGGGGGAACCCUGAUGCAGCGACGCCGCGUGAGUGAAGGAGUACUCCGGUAUGUAAAGCUCUAUCAGCAGGGAAGAAGCAAGACGGUACCUGACCAAGAAGCCCCGGCUAACUACGUG
rnacentral:rRNA from 1 species